UACGUAGGGUGCGAGCGUUAAUCGGAAUUACUGGGCGUAAAGUGUGCGCAGGCGGCCGAGCAAGUCGAGUGUGAAAGCCCCGAGCUUAACUUGGGAACUGCGCUCGAAACUACUUGGCUAGAGUGUGGCAGAGGGAGGUGGAAUUCCACGUGUAGCGGUGGAAUGCGUAGAGAUGUGGAGGAACACCGAUGGCGAAGGCAGCCUCCUGGGCCAACACUGACGCUCAUGCACGAAAGCGUGGGGAGCAAACAGG
rnacentral:rRNA from 1 species